UCAUUAGUGAUCCAUAUCAUUUAGCCUGCCGCUUUCCGUGGAAAACCCAUCAUUUAGAGCCUGUUUAUGCUGCGAUUUUAGCACACCUUAACCUUUCAUGCUGGAUUAUGGAGAUGGCGCAGUGUUUAAACGGCACAUACUCGUGACCGAUUGUAUGUCUCACAGCAUUAGCACAUGUGCAAAAAGUGGACUUUAAUACAUAGGCGUUUAGCAGUCCUGCCGUGCACUCUCACCAGAGCCGACUCACUGGUGAAUAAAAGAUGAACCUGUUCCAGGACGAACGUAAAAUCUAAAUGAAAGAACCAGCUAAUAGGACACGCUGAUCUCCAGACAGACUGCAAGCGCACUCGAUUAACCCCUGGUGAGGACAAGGGGUUCACAGAGUUUGUUCCACUGAACUAAAAGGGAUUUUGGAAGGCUGUCCUCACGCAAGAGAGGCAUCUGAUCAUGCACAUCCAAAACAUCUGUAACAGUAUAAGUCGCAAGAUGUUUGGACAUAGCUGAAAUGGGGGGGAAAUUAUGCUGCAGAGAUGGCAAUUUCGGUCAAGGCAAUUUGCCUUGUCUGGUGUACUAUCCUACAGCGGGCCCAGGGGGAUUCUCCGUGACAGGACAGACAACGGCGAAAAACCCGCCUUGCUGCAUGUGAAACCUCCAAAAAACCAGUCACAUUUUUUUGCUUGGAAACUUAUGUAAAAAAAAAAAAAAAAACAGGUCACCGAUCAAAAGAAUGGGCUGCUUUAUCUGGCGAGGGAGACGUGCGAUCAGACACAAGACAAGGGCCUUGCAGAUGGAGAGCCAUUGAAAGGAGCUUUCUGAAAAGCCAGUCCUCGUGUUUCAGCCGGCGAGCUAGACAAUGUUGAGACGAUGGCAGUCACUGGUGUGUCGUAUGUCCCCGCGCCGGCCCUGCCAGCGGCUGCUUGGCAUACGUGGAAAGGAAAGCGCGGUUUCUUUCUCACAUGAGCGGACGAGGAUUGAAAAAGCAAUAAGGUGAUGGACCGCAGACAGACUUCUCUCCACUUCCGGGAGCCACGAGGGGCCAACGGGGAUGUGUGUUAACGACCACCCAAUACAAAAUAAACAACCAUUUUUUGGGGUGUAUAAACCUGGUUAUAUUACACGCGUCCCACUCCCUCGCUACCCUCUUGUCUUAUUUUAUGUCACAGUGAUUUGUUUUACCAUGAGGUUUCCCUCUCGCACCCUUUAAACAUUUCCCUAACAACAUUAUAUUUACAUCUCAUUAAUAAUUGAUCACUUGCUCCACAGUUUUAAAUUACAAACAGUGCGCUGCUCCUCUUUCAAUAAAUCAAUUUCAAACAUGAAAAAGGCACUUCGUU
ensembl:lncRNA